rnacentral:rRNA from 1 species
UACGUAGGGCGCAAGCGUUGUCCGGAAUUAUUGGGCGUAAAGAGCUCGUAGGCGGUCUGUCACGUCGGCUGUGAAAUCCCGAGGCUCAACCUCGGGUCUGCAGUCGAUACGGGCAAACUUGAGUGUUGCAGGGGAGACUGGAAUUCCUGGUGUAGCGGUGAAAUGCGCAGAUAUCAGGAGGAACACCGGUGGCGAAGGCGGGUCUCUGGGCAACAACUGACGCUGAGGAGCGAAAGCGUGGGGAGCGAACAGG